GAUGAAAGCGGGCGGCGUGCCUAAUACAUGCAAGUCGAUCGAACGGACGAGAAGCUUGCUUCUCUGAUGUUAGCGGCGGCCGGGUGAGUAACACGUGGCUAACCUACCUAUAAGAAUGGGAUAACUUCGGGAAACCGGAGCUAAUACCGGAUAAUAUUUUGAACCGCAUGGUUCAGAAGUGAAAGCCGGUCUUGAUGUCACUUAUAGCUGGAUCCGAGCUGCAUUAGCUAGUUGGUAAGGUAACGGCUUACCAAGGCAACGUUGCAUAGCCGACCUGAGAGGGUGAUAGGCCACACUGGAACUGAGACACGGUCCAGACUCCUACGGGAGGCAGCAGUAGGGAAUCUUCCGCCAUGGGCGAAAGCCUUACGGAGCAACGCCGCGUGAGUGAUGAAGGUCUUCGGAUCGUAAAACUCUGUUAUUAGGGAAGAACAUAUGUGUAAGUAACUGUGCACAUCUUGACGGUACCUAAUCAGAAAGCCACGGCUAACUACGUG
rnacentral:rRNA from 1 species